UUUAACUUUGGUCAAACUUUUUGGGUAGCCUUCCACAAGCUUCUCACAAUAAGUUGCUGGAAUUUUGGCCCAUUCCUCCAGACAAAACUGGUGUAACUGGAUCAGGUUUGUAGGCCUCAUUGCUCGCACAUACUUUUUUCAGUUCUGCCCACAAAUUUUCUGUUGAAUUGAGGUUUGGGCUUUGUGAUGGUCACUCUAAUACCUUGACUUUGUUGUCCUUAAGCCAUUUAGCCACAACUUUGGAGGUGUGCUUGGGAUCACUGUCCAUUUGGAAGACCCAUUUGCCACCAAGCUUUAACUUCCUGUAUGACGUCUUGAGAUGUUGCUUCAAUAUAUCCACAAUGGACCACUUUUGACUGUUCUCACAGUGAAAUCGGAAACAGUAUGUAGACUGUUCAGUUUGUUAUUGACGAAAUUCGAAACACUGCCCCCAGUGGCCAAAGCAGUAGGUGUUCUCCAUUUCCAGGGUGAAAUGUCCACAGAGGUGCACCAAAAGUUGUUGUCAUGGAGACUGGAGAGAUAUCUCACCAUGGAGGGCCGCUUGAUAGGAUCGGCCAAAGUAGACCACCCUCAGGGCAGCAUGUGAAAGACCUCAUUGUGCCAGGUCAGAACAGUUGUCCAGACAAAAUACUGAAAAUAACCACUGGAUCAACAUUCAAGCUACACUCGGAAAGAAUGUUUAAUGGUAUAUACACUUUUGAAGUUCUGGCCAUCAACAGCAUCAGAGCCAUGAGAAGUGAAAAUCAAUGUUGACACUUGACUUCAAAACAAUGACAAUGUCAUAAAAGUGGUUCUGGAGUGUAGCAUUACUAGUUUGACUUCAUACAGAUAAAACACAACACUCCUAUUCAUGGAUCAGCACACCCAUCCUCAACCUGAUCUUUCAUAUGGUGUCCAGGCCCCUUAUAUAGUGAAGAGUAGGCAUCAAACUGAUGACAUGCAGAUGGCUGAAAUGACGUGAGGUUCUUCUGUGGGAGCUACAGCCCUUUCCCAGACACAACAGAAACCAGAGGCUCUGGCUAAUUUCAUAGCUUCCUCUUCAUUGUUUGCCUGUUUGUGUGACUGGAAACCAGCAGUGACAGACAGAUGACUGGUUGCUCUUAAACUGAUUUUGUGGAGAAACUGGACCUGGCACCUUUAGAAGUACCUUCAGCGUGGGAACCACGGAUAACUGAUGGCCGAGUGUGGAGGAUAGCGGCGUUCUGGUUCGGAAUGAUACCUUUGGGCUAAAGCGGGAAAGCGUGGACUAAUCUCUCCAUCUGCUUCCCCGUGACAUCAAAAGAAAAGCCUAUGAUUCUACGGCCUAUAUAUAAAACCUGCAGGAAGACAUAUGUAAUUCUGGCUCUCUUACUGUAACCUAAGGCUGGUCUUGACUGCUCUUUAUUUUUCUUUCUUCCUCACAUUGUGUGCUUUAUUCUUUCUUGUCUCUGUUCAAGUAGAUGUCUAAAUGCCUUUAUUUUUUGUUCAAAUGGGUCGAUAGUGUUAGCUAGUUUCAGGUGUUUCGCCCCUUGAUUUGCAAGCAUCUAUAGGACAUCUAGAGAUUGUAGACCGUACAACUACACUUACAACACAGUUUCAACAUAACCUUUUUCAAAUCGUUACCCCUUUGUAAUGCUAUGGGACAAUAAUACUUAAACAAGAUCCUGGGUUCCAAGCAGUUGAAUGGUGAGCUGGCUGCAAUUUCUGUCUACUAGUUAAAUUUGGUUUUUAAUGUACUCUUAUUAAUUGUAAAUGUAAUUCAAUUUUUAUCUGUAACUGCAAUCAGUACAUACGUGUUGACUCCACUAAGGAAAUUACUGUAAGUUAGCUCACAUUUUUUAUUCCCCUAGAACUAAAGGUUUUCUUUUUUUAAAGACACUGUAUUUUGGAAAAUAUCAACAAAUAUCAAUUUAGUCUUCCAUGAAUGUUUCACCCCUUCUUCCCCGUUCCGCCAAAAUCUCUGUUUGAAACAAUAACAAAUAAAAUAACAAAUAAGAAGUAUAAAAUUAAUUAAUUCUUAAUUAAUUAAUUUAAUACCUUGUACUGAUUUUUCUUUAAAUAAAAUACAGUAGGCUAUAUACAGUAGACUUUCAUCACUUUUGAUUCAAUAUUUUUUCAGUUGGUUCAAUUCACCCUUGUUGACUAUAUAUAUUCACUUUAUAAUAAAUCAAUAAAAAUUUGCCUAAAUCAGAUAUAUAAAGUGUAACUGGAAAGAAAAAAAAAACUUUUACAGUUACUCUCAGAAGUAACCUGAAUAAAUCUUAAUUGGUAUUUAUUCAAUAUGCUCUCAAUACAUAAAAACUUGAGAAUAAUAACCCAUCAUAAACAUGACAAAGGAGAAUUCGACCUUGAAAUCACUUACGUAUAGUCUUUGCAAUUCAGUCUUAUA